AAAGCGGAGGAAAAGAAACCAACAGGGAUUGCCCUAGUAAUGGCGAAUGAACAGGCAAAAGCUCAGAUUUGAAACCCUCGGGAUUGUAAUCUGGAGACCUGGAUUUGGCACGCUGACCAAGUCUUCUGGAACGGAGCGCCAUGGAGGGUGACAGCCCCGUAGCAGCAGCCACUGUAAAUCCGGGUCGACGAGUCGAGUUGUUUGGGAAUGCAGCUCUAAGUGGGUGGUAUGCUCCAUCUAAAGCUAAAUAUUGGCGAGAGACCGAUAGCGAACAAGUACUGUGAAGGAAAGAUGAAAAGAACUUUGAAAAGAGAGUGAAAAAGUACGUGAAAUUGUUGAAAUGGAAGGCAAUGAGGUGCGAUUGAACCGGACGUUUGCGGGCAGGACAAAAGCGCAGGCCGCCUCGGCAUUGCCUGCGUGCAUACUGCCUCGCGGACUACCAGUUCUAACAACGCCUUAUUGCACCCGUCUUGAACC
rnacentral:rRNA from 1 species